ACUAAACUAAUGACCAGAGAGCCUCUUAAAACUAGGUGGUAAUGCAGAUUAAAGACCACUUGUACGUCUUGAAGGGAGAUGGGUUGUACAAAAACUUCAUUAAUCUUUGGGUAAGCCAAAUCAACCUUUUGAGGAGGUCUACAUACCAGUAGUGUAAGUCACUUUGAUGUCGUCAAAGAAAUGCCAGUCAUUAUGGAGGUAGAUUGGAUGUCGAGUAAAUCAGUUUAAAGCACCAUCCGAUUUGGCCUUCUUUCACUUCCCAACAUAAAGAACUCGCUAGGGAAACUAAAGGGGAACUAACAAAAGAAAGCACAAAGCACUCGCCAAAAUGGGUAAAACCCAUAUGAAAAUUAUAGAAAUAAGAGGAAGAAAGACAAAGGAAAAGGGAAAGAAGAAGAAGAAGAGGAAGAUGAAAGAGGCCAUACAAAAAGAAGAAAAAGAUGUGAAGGAAAUAGGGAAAAGAAAGGAAAGGAAGGAGGGGUUGUAACCAAGAGAACAAUCCUUCCCUAAAGCUGUUGUUGUGUUGAGAGUUUUUAGUGAAAAAGAG
rnacentral:misc_RNA from 1 species